CUACGUAGGGGGCGAGCGUUAUCCGGAAUGAUUGGGCGUAAAGGGCGCGUAGGCGGCCCGGUAAGUCUGGAGUGAAAGUCCUGUUUUUAAGAUGGGAAUUGCUUUGGAUACUGUCGGGCUUGAGUGACGGAGAGGCAAGAGGAAUUCCCAGUGGAGUGGGGAAAUGCGUAGAGAUUGGGAGGAACAACAGUGGCGAAGGCGACUUACUGGACUGUAACUGACGCUGAGGCGCGAAAGUGUGGGGAGCAAACAGGAUUAGAUACCCUGGUAGUCCACACUGUAAACGAUGAAUGCUAGGUGUAGGGGGUAUCGACCCCUUCUGUGCCGCAGUCAACACAAUAAGCAUUCCGCCUGGGGAGUACGGCCGCAAGGUUGAAACUCAAAUGAAUUGACGGGG
rnacentral:rRNA from 1 species